AUUGAACGCUGGCGGCGGGCCUAACACAUGCAAGUCGAGCGAGCGGCGGACGGGUGAGUAAGGUAUGGGGACUGCCCGACAGAGGGGGAUAACUACUGGAAACGGUGGCUAAUACCGCAUACUAUCGGAUAACCCACAUGGGAUUAGCUAGUAGGUGGGGUAAAGGCGCACCUAGGCGACGAUCCAUAGCUGGCCUGAGAGGAGGAUCGGCCACACUGGGACUGAGACACGGCCCAGACUCCUACGGAGGCAGCAGUAGGGAAUAUUGGGCAAUGGGCGAAAGUCUGAUCGAGCAAUGCCGCGUGAAUGAAGAAGGCCUUCGGAUCGUAAAGCACUGUUGGCAGAGAAGCGGUACCCAAAGAGAAAGCAACGGCUAACUACGUGCCAGCAGCCGCGGUAAUAC
rnacentral:rRNA from 1 species